AUUGAACGCUGGCGGCAGGCCUAACACAUGCAAGUCGAACGAGUGGCGGACGGGUGAGUAAUGUCUGGGAAACUGCCUGAUGGAGGGGGAUAACUACUGGAACCGGUAGCUAAUACCGCAUACCCUCGGCUCUGCCCAGAUGGGAUUAGCUAGUAGGUGGGGUAAAGGCUCACCUAGGCGACGAGCCCUAGCUGGUCUGAGAGGAUGACCAGCCACACUGGAACUGAGACACGGUCCAGACUCCUACGGGAGGCAGCAGUGGGGAAGAUUGCACAAUGGGCGCAAGCCUGAUACAGCCAUGCCGCGUGUAUGAAGAAGGCCUUCGGGUUGUAAAGUACUGUCAGCGGGGAGGCGUUACCCGAAGAAGAAGCACCGGCUAACUCCGUGCCAGCAGCCGCGGUAAUAC
rnacentral:rRNA from 1 species